rnacentral:rRNA from 1 species
UGCAAGUCGAACGAUGAACCGGUGCUUGCAUCGGGGAUUAGUGGCGAACGGGUGAGUAACACGUGAGUAACCUGCCCUUAACUCUGGGAUAAGCCUUGGAAACGAGGUCUAAUACUGGAUAUUGACUUUACCUCGCAUGGGGUUUGGUUGAAAGAUUUAUUGGUUUUGGAUGGACUCGCGGCCUAUCAGCUUGUUGGUGAGGUAAUGGCUCACCAAGGCGACGACGGGUAGCCGGCCUGAGAGGGUGACCGGCCACACUGGGACUGAGACACGGCCCAGACUCCUACGGGAGGCAGCAGUGGGGAAUAUUGCACAAUGGGCGAAAGCCUGAUGCAGCGACGCCGCGUGAGGGAUGACGGCCUUCGGGUUGUAAACCUCUUUCAGUAGGGAACAAGGCCAGCAUUUUUGUUGGUUGAGGGUACUUGCAGAAGAAGCGCCGGCUAACUACGUGCCAGCAGCCGCGGUAAUACGUAGGGCGCAAGCGUUAUCCGGAAUUAUUGGGCGUAAAGAGCUCGUAGGCGGUUUGUCGCGUCUGCCGUGAAAGUCCGGGGCUCAACCCCGGAUCUGCGGUGGGUACGGGCAGACUAGAGUGAUGUAGGGGAGACUGGAAUUCCUGGUGUAGCGGUGAAAUGCGCAGAUAUCAGGAGGAACACCGAUGGCGAAGGCAGGUCUCUGGGCAUUAACUGACGCUGAGGAGCGAAAGCAUGGGGAGCGAACAGGAUUAGAUACCCUGGUAGUCCAUGCCGUAAACGUUGGGCACUAGGUGUGGGGGACAUUCCACGUUUUCCGCGCCGUAGCUAACGCAUUAAGUGCCCCGCCUGGGGAGUACGGCCGCAAGGCUAAAACUCAAAGGAAUUGACGGGGGCCCGCACAAGCGGCGGAGCAUGCGGAUUAAUUCGAUGCAACGCGAAGAACCUUACCAAGGCUUGACAUGAACUGGAAAUACCUGGAAACAGGUGCCCCGCUUGCGGUCGGUUUACAG